AUUAAGCCAUGCACGUCUAAGUAUAAAUGUUAUACAGUGAAACUGCGAAUGGCUCAUUAAAACAGUUAUAGUUUAUUUGAUAAUCGAAUUUUACAUGGAUACCCGUGGUAAUUCUAGAGCUAAUACAUGCUGUCUGCCUGACUUCUGGAAGGGCUGUAUUUAUUAGAUAACAAAUCAAUAUUCCUCGUGUCUAUUCUGAUGAUUCAUAAUAACUGAUCGAAUCGCAUGGGCUUUGCCAGCGACAAAUCAUUCAAGUUUCUGCCCCAUCAGCUUUCGAUGGUAGUGUAUUGGACUACCAUGGCUUUAACGGGUAACGGGGGAUUAGGGUUCGAUUCCGGAGAGGGAGCCUGAGAAACGGCUACCACAUCUAUGGAAGGCAGCAGGCGCGUAAAUUACCCAAUCCUAAUUCAGGGAGGUAGUGACAAGAAAUAACGGACCGGAGCUUUUGUUCCGGGAUUGCAAUGAGUUGAAUUUAAACCCCUUGACGAGGAUCAAUUGGAGGGCAAGUCUGGUGCCAGCAGCCGCGGUAAUUCCAGCUCCAAUAGCGUAUAUUAAAGUCGUUGCAGUUAAAAAGCUCGUAGUUGGAUCUUGGAGUGGGGCGUGCCAGGCCUGCCGGGCAACCGGUGUGUGCUUGCGCCCCCACUCUCUCCUACUGGAUGCUCGCCCCUGCUCUUAACUGAGUGGGCGGUAUUCCACACUCCGGUGUGGUCUCGCCCAGGUGCCGAGGUGCAGUGUGCCCUGGCGGGUGUGCGCUCACGCGUGCGCCUGUCAGGCUGCUGUUCAUUCUGUGCUUGGUGUUGGAGCUCCAGUUCGUUUACUGUGAGUAAAUUAGAGUGUUCAAAGCAGGUCAGAUUGACCCUGAAUACAUUAGCAUGGGAUAAUAGAAUAGGACUUCCGGUUCUAUUUUGUUGGUUUCUAGGACUGAAGUAAUGAUUAAUAGGGAUAGUUGGGGGCAUUAAUAUUUAAUUGUCAGAGGUGAAAUUCUUGGAUUUAUGAAAGAUUAACUUCAGCGAAAGCAUCUGUCAAGGAUGUUUUCAUUAAUCAAGAACGAAAGUUAGGGGAUCGAAGACGAUCAGAUACCGUCGUAGUCUUAACCAUAAACGAUGCCGACCAGGGAUCGCGGGACGUUACUAUUCAUGACUUCCGCGGCACCUUACGAGAAAUCACAAGUCUUUGGGUUCCGGGGGAAGUAUGGUUGCAAAGCUGAAACUUAAAGGAAUUGACGGAAGGGCACCACCAGGAGUGGAGCCUGCGGCUUAAUUUGACUCAACACGGGAAAACUUACCCGGCCCGGACACUGAAAGGAUUGACAGAUUGAGAGCUCUUUCUUGAUUCGGUGGUUGGUGGUGCAUGGCCGUUCUUAGUUGGUGGAGCGAUUUGUCUGGUUAAUUCCGAUAACGAACGAGACUCUAGCCUGCUAAAUAGCCAACCGAUCCGCAGCGUCGGUUGCAAUAAGCUUCUUAGAGGGACAGGCGACGUUUAGUCGCACGAGAUUGAGCAAUAACAGGUCUGUGAUGCCCUUAGAUGCCCGGGGCCGCACGCGCGCUACACUGGUUGAAGCAGCUGGCAUUGCGUCUAGGUCGAAAGGCCCGGAAAAUCCGCUGAAACUCAACCGUGAUUGGGAUUGAGCUUUGUAAUUAUCGCUCAUGAACGAGGAAUUCCCAGUAAGCGCGAGUCAUAAGCUCGCGUUGAUUACGUCCCUGCCCUUUGUACACACCGCCCGUCGCUACUACCGAUUGAAUGAAUUAGUGAGGACUUCGGACUGGUCAUCGCGGCUGUCGCAAGACGGCUGCGGCUGGCUGGGAAGAUGUCCAAACUGGCUCAUUAGAGGAAGUAAAA
rnacentral:rRNA from 1 species